rnacentral:rRNA from 1 species
ACGCUGGCGGCAGGCUUAACACAUGCAAGUCGAACGGUAACAGGAAUUAGCUUGCUAAUUUGCUGACGAGUGGCGGACGGGUGAGUAAUGCUUGGGAAUCUGGCUUAUGGAGGGGGAUAACUACGGGAAACUGUAGCUAAUACCGCGUAAAAUCUUCGGAUUAAAGGGUGGGACUUUCGAGCCACCUGCCAUAAGAUGAGCCCAAGUGGGAUUAGGUAGUUGGUUAGGUAAAGGCUGACCAAGCCGACGAUCUCUAGCUGGUCUGAGAGGAUGACCAGCCACACUGGAACUGAGACACGGUCCAGACUCCUACGGGAGGCAGCAGUGGGGAAUAUUGCACAAUGGGGGGAACCCUGAUGCAGCCAUGCCGCGUGAAUGAAGAAGGCCUUCGGGUUGUAAAGUUCUUUCGGUGACGAGGAAGGUUGAUAGGUUAAUAGCCUAUCAAAUUGACGUUAAUCACAGAAGAAGCACCGGCUAACUCCGUGCCAGCAGCCGCGGUAAUACGGGGGGUGCGAGCGUUAAUCGGAAUAACUGGGCGUAAAGGGCACGCAGGCGGCGACUUAAGUGAGAUGUGAAAGCCCCGAGCUUAACUUGGGAAUUGCAUUUCAUACUGGGUCGCUAGAGUACUUUAGGGAGGGGUAGAAUUCCACGUGUAGCGGUGAAAUGCGUAGAGAUGUGGAGGAAUACCGAAGGCGAAGGCAGCCCCUUGGGAAUGUACUGACGCUCAUGUGCGAAAGCGUGGGGAGCAAACAGGAUUAGAUACCCUGGUAGUCCACGCUGUAAACGAUGUCGAUUUGGGGAUUGGGCUUUGAGCUUGGUGCCCGUAGCUAACGUGAUAAAUCGACCGCCUGGGGAGUACGGCCGCAAGGUUAAAACUCAAAUGAAUUGACGGGGGCCCGCACAAGCGGUGGAGCAUGU